CAGAAGGGGGUGAGCUGGGCCGAGCAAAGCUGCAGGAAAGCCUGAGAGAAGCUUGGAAAAUUGGCAGGAGGCUCCUGCAGAGGGGAAGCUACCCCAGAGAAAGCCUAGAGAAAGAACUGGUGAAGUAGCAGCACCAGAAACGUACUGCGAUCUGGCUGGCAACAUGAAAAGCAUGGUGGGCCGGGUGAGCAAUAAUCCGGGCCAGGAACACUGGUUGUUUUUUAUUGUAAUAUGAAGAUGGAGGCCCCAAGUGAGAAUUCGCCAGCUGGACCAGUGAUGAGAAGACAAUUCCAAAACCCAGUGGAACGGGCGAGGGUGUAGGGAAUGAUGGAGCCCUCAUGAACAUAGGAUGGUGGACAACAACUGACUGGAACUGCACGCCCAGAUUAUCUUCAAUUGAAGAGAGUGCAGCAGUCCGUUGGGAGGAUCAUAACACAUCAAUCAAGUGGAGAAAGGGGGACCAUAGGAACAGAGGACUGAAACUAGCCCCCUGGCUGAGACCUCUGCAUUCACAAGACAUACAAGUCCUCUGCACUUCUCCAAGACAUCUAAGAACUGUCCCCUCCAACUCUUACGUACAACACAGCCAACAUGUUUUUGAGCAUAAAACCAGUGACACCAUACACUGUGCCACUGCUUAAAAAGCAAGGGAGACAAGUAUGUGAGGUGCUACACCUCGGAAGGAAUAAUAAAAAAUACAAAUACAAAAUGGGUGAUAAAACAGUACCCUGCUCCCUGCAGGGCCAGAUGGCAGCACUAUGAAGAAGGACCUGGAAGUCUUGGUAGAUCAUAGACUUAAUGUAAGACUGCAGUGUGAUGUAGCUGCACAAAAGAUAAGUGCAGUUUUCGGAUGCAAGAAUAGAAACAUUAGGGGUAAGACAUAGGAGGUUAGAGUGCCUCCCUACUUGGCACUAGUUAGGCUUCUAGUAGAGUAUCAUGUUCAGUUUUGGAUUCCAUAUUUUUACAAAGAACGUGGACAAGUUAGAGAAGGUCAAGAAGUGGGUGACAAAAAUGGUAAAUGGCAUGGAAGGCGAGUCAGCUUGCAGGAAAGGUACUUAAGAGGGGACAUGUUAUAAGAGGGCUGCCUUAAAGAAGAGGGAAAAUGCCUUUUCUUUCUUGCUGCAGAGAGUAGGACACACUUCAAUGGCUUGAAGUUGCAGACAGUCAGUUUAGAUUGGGUAUCAGGAACAACUCCUUCACUGACAGCAGAGUGAAGGACUGGACUAGACUGCCUAGGAAAGUUGUGAAUUCCUGUUACUGCAGGUGUUCAAGAAAAGUUUGGACAGGGAUGAUCUAAGCAUAGCUAUGUUCUACUGCAGAUAUUUCCUAUGCUUCUGGGCUUUGUUGGUUGCUGCUUGGGGGCAGGAUGGACUUUUUUCCUCUCUUGCUGUCACAUUUUCCUCAGAAAUAUUAGGUGUUGGCUGCAGCCAAGCUUAGGGGUUUUGGCUGGGGUGUGCUAGUGCUCUUGGUGGGAUUUAAACCUGCAGAUUCCCAGCUAGAGGGUCUUGUCCCUUCACUCAGGGUCAGACCAAUUUCCAUAUUUGGAGUCAGGAAGGAAUUUUGGUCAGAUUGGUAUGGGCUGUGGGGGGUUUUGCCUUCCUUUGUAGUGGGGAACAUGACUUUCUUCCUGGGAUAUUGCAAGCAUAUUUUAACAACUUUUGCAGAAGUAGGAUUUUGCCUGCCAUGGUCCCCAUGAUUUACCUCUGGCAGACUAGGGUGUUAUGUCUUGUGUUGUCUGGAUUUACUGUAUCAUUUUGCUAGGAAAUUAGACAAUAGAUUGGUAUUGGAUAAUCCUGCCUCUGGCAGGGGGUUGCACUACAACACUUCUAGAGGUCCCUUCCAGUCCUUCUUCUCUAUAAUUUUAUAACUGAUUGUAUGCCUUCUAUGUCAUUGCAAAGAAAAUAAGUCUUUUGGUGACCUUAGCAAAAGGGAGGAUUAUUCUCCAAGCCACACAGGAAGACAACUCCUUCCCUCACCCACUACAGUCCUUGCCAGUCUGACCUGGGGGAAAAUUACUUCCUGAUUAUAAAUCUGGCAAUUGGUCUCCCUGGGCACAUCUAUGUGUGCCCCUAUGGCGCCAUUGUUGCUGCGCUGUGGCGGCGGCGCAGUUAUUUUUAGCCCCUAUGUUGUUGUAGUGAUGUGCUAUACUGAGGGAGUUUGUCACUAUGGAGAUGUAGCUGCAGCAUCACAGUUUGUGCCCGCCAAUGCUAUGUCACUAUAGUGCAUUGCAAUGGUGAUAUAGUCUUACAUGUAGACAUAUACCUCCUGAGUGGUAAAAAAGACCCUCCAAUCAGGUCCCUGAGAGGUUUCUAAAUACUAGAAGUACUCAUGAGAGAAAAAAAAAAUCCUCCAAACCCCUGCAGCUAAGUGGCAGAAGCUUUAAAUGGAUUAUUAAUCCCCUCCCUCAUGGAGUUAUCUAUCACUCUAAUUUAGGGAUAGUUAACAUUUGACUCAACAUAUCCCAAACACUGGGUGUGUCUACUCAAGAUGCUUUACUGUUCAUUAGUCUAAUCUAAUGCACAGUAAAGUGUUGGCAUCUACACAAAUGCAGCAAUUACUAUGUGAUAGUUUAGUCAAAUGUGCCAUUUUCUAGUACCUGUAAAUACUAGCUCCCCCUCGGCUGCUGAAGAGGGGAGAGCAGGGCAGGAACAGCCCUAAACUGAACUAGUCCCAUUGGGAGCAAAUUUGUUCCUGAUGGAUGCACGUUCAGAUGCAUGCAGGGGAACAGUUUAACGUGCCUGAAUUUUCUGUGCAGAAAAUUCAAGUAAUUGAUUCCAUGUGUAGAGACUGAAAAUUGAUUAAAACAGACCCUUUUUAUCAUGCUAACCCUUCCAUAACAUUAUCGAGGAUUGGGACUCUGUUGCCUUGUAGUUAGGGAGUGCUGCUUUGAGGUCCAGACUGUUUCUGUAUUUCUUCAAAUAACUAUUGUAUUUAAAACACAGAAUAAUCUUUGGAACAGAGGUCACAGUCAGGGAGUUCCCACUCAUGGGUGUGUGCACUUGUCACAAAGUGGAUAAGUCAUUCUCCUUCUUGCUCUUGAAUUCUUGUAUACUUGAUGAGGAAGUGAUUGAAAGUCUAGACUAAUACAGAACAGACCUUCAUCAACCAUGCUUUUAAAAAGCAAAUGGUAGCCACCAUGACAUUGUGUGCACAUUGAAGUUUACAUAUAGCACACUUGAAUAAUUCCUACUAGAUGAACCAGCCUUGAGAACUCCUAUAUUCUGGAUUCUCGUUGCACUUAGAUGUGAGACGGUUGCCAAACUGGUUAGAAUGGAACAGUGAGACAUGUGCAGUGGUGCAAUUUUGGGCACCUGAGAAACUUUAAGGUCAAAAUGUAAUGUGUAUUUGAAAGUUAGGUGGAAACUAAACUGGGUUUUUCUGCACUUUGGUACCUCACUUCGCCUAAAUCAUGUAUUUUUUUUUUUUUUUUUUUUUUACUGAAACCAGCCCUGAGAGCCUGGCAGAUGGAAAAGGCCAGCUGUUGUAUGCUUACUGCUCUUAUAGCAAAACUGAAAAAUGGACACUGGUACAGUUUGUAUUAGAAUGUAAAUGAUGGUUUACAGAUUAGAGGACAUUAUGAUUACCACAGUCAUUUCACAGUAUUUAGUCAUAUACUACCUAAGUAUUCCCCUAAUUUUUCUGGUAGAAAAAUUCUGUAGGGUCCAUCUCACAAAACUUAUUUUGUUGCAAUAAGUACUUUUGCAUCAGUGACUUCACACUUGCCUGGAUUGUCAACUCAAAGCAUUAACUUCUGAGGCUAGAGAGUUUUUUACUCCCAAUAACAUAAAACCUACCUGGGACUGGGUGAGUAUCUUCUACUUUAGAUCUCACAUUUAAAUCUAAGUUAGAGAAAGGGGAAAAAGAGGAAAACAUGUGAAGUGGCAUCUAAAGACUGAUUUACUAUAGUAAUUUACUUGAUUGUUCCAAAGCUUAAUAUACGUGGAAGUACCCUGACACAGGGCUACUGAGAUGGUUAGUGACUGUACCAGCCGAAUCUUGACUGCCAGAUUAUGUAAAGGCUCAUAGUCCUCUGUUUCUAAAAAAUAUAAAUGUGAUUCUGACAAUAAUAGAUAAAGAUUCCAGCUUUCGUUAAACUGAACAUUUUCCAAUUUAGUGAACUGUGUUUAUCUGUUUCAUAGGGGCCGUUCUAUAUGGAUAACAAAAAAGGGAAACUUGCUAAAUAACAUUUUAACAUCACUUAAGAUGAUGAUCCUAAAAAAAAAAGAGGAAGAUCAACAGUAGUGCUGAUACUUUCAUAUUUGACAUAAAUUAGCACAAUAUAAGAACAUGAGUGACAUAAAUUGUUACAGUAGAUAACUACCAAACUCUGUGCAGGACAUCUUAUGGAAUGUGUAAAAGACUGAUGCACCUUAGGAGACAUUUAGCAACAUAGAGGAACUUUUCUUUAGGAUUUGUCUCUCUUUCUUAUUUGAAGAUUAUCAUCAUUAUAAACUUAUUUGUAAAGGUCCAAAUGCUCUCUCACAUACACAGCUAGAGAAAUUGUAGGGAAUUUCCCUGCUAGGCUAUAGAGUUCUGCAGUUAUUAACACAGUAAUAUUGAAUAUGCUUAUCUAUAAACAUGUGCUGAAGUCCUAUUCACUUGCUUACAUAUAUUCCUGAAUACAGAUUGACUUAAUCAAGUGCUUCUUUUCAGUAAGCUAAGAGGAAUGGGAAAAAAAAAAAGGAUUGAUCAGCAAAGAAAGCUACAUUUUAGAGGUCAGGAAGUAUAAAGUGAGAAUUGUGAAAAUGUCAAGCAGAGUUAGGCCUUGCAAAGGCAAUUAAAACAAAUAGCAAAGGAUUCUUCAGCUAUAUGAAAAAACAAAAAGAACAAGAAAGAAGUGGGGAUGCUAUUCAGUGAGGGUGAGGCUGAUCUUAAAGAUAAUCACGGUGUGCCUUGAAAUGAAAGGAAUGCUUUGCCUCACUUUUUAAUAAGGAUGAUCAUGUUGAGCACGAGGACAAAAGCAGAAUAGCUAAGAAAAAACAAGGUAAGGACAUUAUCACACCCAAGGUGUAAUAAAACUCAAAUAGCUUAAUGUACUUAAACUGGGGGAACAAGAUAUUUUCCAUCCCCAAAUUAUGAAAUAAUUAUCACAUAAUACUGUGGGCUUAGGAGGAUCUGUAAUAAUUGUAUCAUGUUAGGUUAGGCAUCAUAUCAUUGAAAUAUAGCAAGCAUAGUAUCCCUAUUUAAAAAAAGAGAAAAAGUGGCUCAGGAAACAACAGACCCAUUAGUCAUAUCUAAAUAGCAUUAAAAGUUUCCAAACAAAUUUUGAAAGAAAAAAUGAUAUGGAGUGGAAACUCAGAUACAAGUCAAUCAAGUUACAUCAUCUCCAGCUAAGUUGAUUUAUUUUUUGAUAAAAUAAGUGAUUUGCAGGACAAACAAAAUGCAGUACAUGUAAUAUAUCUGGAUUUUAGGAAGCAAUUUGAUAUGGCGCUUUAUGGGAAUUUAUUAAUUAAGUUGACGAAGGUGGAAAUUUGUAUAAGAAAUGUAAGGAAAAAACUGGCUAAGGGGAACCUCCAUUGUCUAACAGAAAUUGUUUUUAGUUCUUAAAGGAGUUGGCCAUGACUUAUCUGGAAACAACAGAGAAAUAGAAGAACCUAAGUGUAGUAGUCAAUCAUAGGAUGAGUAUAAGCUUCCAGUGUACUAUAUGUGACAUGGUAUUUCCUGUAGAAAUAGGGAAGUGUUAGUGCCAUUUUGCAAGGCAUUAGUGAAUUUGGAAAGCUGCAUACAGUUCUAGUCACCCAUGUUCAAGAAGAAUGAAUUCAAACUGGAGCAAGUGCAGAGAUAGGUUAUUUGGAUGAUCAGGUGAAUGGAAAACCCACCAUACAAGAAGAGACUAAACAAAUUUGGCUUGUUUAUCCUUGCAAAAUCAAGGCUGAGAGGAGAUUCAGUUAUUAAUUGUAAAUACACUGGGGACUAAGCAGCAGACAAAGAGAAGAACUCUUCAAGCUUUAAUUUUGGCACAGAAAUACACCAGUAUAAACUAGCCAUGUAUAAAUAUCAGCUCAAUAUUAGAAUAAUGUUUCUGCUGGCUGUAGACACUUUGGGCCCUGACAGACAUACAGCUCCCUGAUCUAACUCAUGGUGUUUCACAGAAAGCGCCAUGAGUUACACUAACCCUUCUGACCCAACAGAUGUUAGCUGUUUGUUGGGAGCCUGGGAGAUCCAGGGAAAGAGGCUGCAUGUCUGCAGAAUCUGUUUCCUAGUCCCACCCCAUGUCCUGUCUCAGGAUGGGAGUGGGGAAAAGCAGGGGAAGGCAUUCUGUUCUGGGGUUUUCUCAGCCUACUCUGGAUUUGGGGGGUCAGGUGGAUAGGAGCCCCCCCCCACCUUGUGGGGGGGAGGGCACAGGGAACUCCAAUUCAUCCACCUCACCUUCCAGUACUGAUUCGGCAACCCCCAGACCAAACUCAUUUCCCUCCCUUCUCCUCCCUUUCUGAAGACAGCAACAGGAACAGUGCUGUCACUGGGAUGAGUCAGCCCAGCCCUCCUCCCAGUGUGCACGGACAGAUGUUAAUGAAUAUGCUCCGCUUUGGAGCGGCUUAAUCUGAACCCUCAUUACAACCCACACACCAACUGUGAGACAAACUGUCAUGCCUAUCAGUGCCCUUUCUCUUUCUCUUGGCAGAAGCAAGGACAGAUCUUUUUUCUUUUUUUGUGUCUUUCAAAAAUAAGGUACAUAUCUUAUUCAGGGGCCAACUGUAAGUAAGAAAAUAUAGUGUUAUUGGACAUCAGAGUCAAUAUGUAAAAAACGAUGAUAGGCCCCUCUAGGGACUAUUGUUUCCAGGUCAAGUUCUGUUAAUUACUACUGCAUCCCGUACACUCAAUUUAUUCAUCCAAAUUCUCUCUCUAAUGGUUAGUGACUUAGGCUUAGAUAUGUAACAUGAAAUAUGAUUUAACAGGGAAGUACAUAGUUAUGUAACUGCAGUUUUGACAUGUAAGCACAGUUCUAUUUCAUCACAGGGAAGAAUAGUAUCCCAAACUAUCAGGCAGGGAAGUAAUAUACAAGACAUUAUUGUAUAUAUUGUGUCAUGGUGAUAUGUUUGUUUCUUUUGCAUUUCUUUGAGUCAUGUAUAUAAAUCUGUAAUUGGCUUGGCUCUUUUUUGUUUAA